UACAGAGGGCUCAAGCGUUGUUCGGAUUCAUUGGGCGUAAAGGGUGUGUAGGCGGCGCGCUAAGUCGGGCGUGAAAUUUCGGAGCUUAACUCCGAAACUGCAUUCGAUACUGGCGUGCUUGAGGACUGGAGAGGAGACUGGAAUUCAUGGUGUAGCAGUGAAAUGCGUAGAGAUCAUGAGGAAGACCAGUGGCGAAGGCGGGUCUCUGGACAGUUCCUGACACUGAGACACGAAGGCCAGGGGAGCAAACGGG
rnacentral:rRNA from 1 species